AACGAACGCUGGCGGCAUGCCUAACACAUGCAAGUCGAACGAGACCUUCGGGUCUAGUGUCGCACGGGUGCGUAACGCGUGGGAACCUGCCCUUAGGUUCGGAAUAACUCCCCGAAAGGGGUGCUAAUACCGGAUAAUGUCUUCGGACCAAAGAUUUAUCGCCUUUGGAUGGGCCCGCGUUGGAUUAGCUAGUUGGUAGGGUAAAAGCCUACCAAGGCGACGAUCCAUAGCUGGUCUGAGAGGAUGAUCAGCCACACUGGGACUGAGACACGGCCCAGACUCCUACGGGAGGCAGCAGUGGGGAAUAGUGGACAAUGGGCGAAAGCCUGAUCCAGCAAGGCCGCGUGAGUGAUGAAGGCCUUAGGGUUGUAAAGCUCUUUUAACCGGGAUGAUAAUGACAGUACCGGGAGAAUAAGCUCCGGCUAACUCCGUG
rnacentral:rRNA from 1 species